rnacentral:pre_miRNA from 1 species
AAUUGAAUUACUGGGUCAUAUGAUAAGUUUAUAUUUGGUUUUUAUAAAAAACUGCCAAACUAUUUUCCAAAAGUCUGUACCAUUUCACAUUUCCCAUCAGUAAU